rnacentral:rRNA from 1 species
AUGCCAAAAGCUUCACAUGAGUAUGCUUGUCGUCUAGUUGGUGGCCCUAACAACCUUGGUUACACUUGCCGUGACCGAAAGAACCAUUUGCGAAGCAAGCGGCAGCGGGAGUUGGCUUAUGGACAGGCUGCACGGCUGAACAAAAAAGAGGUUCAAUCAAAGAACUUAAGGAGAAAGAAAAAUUGGCUUGAUAAGUUACUCAAGGGGAAGCACAGAGUAACUAAAGGACCAACAAAACAGGGAGAAAAGCCACAAAGGAAGAAGGAUGACAACAAAAGAAAAAAGAUGGUGUGCAGCCUCAAGUAG